rnacentral:pre_miRNA from 1 species
AGUGGAAUAACUGGGUCAUAUAGGGGUUCCAAGUUUUCUAAGGAAUCUCCAUAGUGCUUUCCAUAGGGGAUGCACCAAUUUGCAAUCCCACCAGCAAU